GCCCGUGUGGUGGAAUGGUAGACACACGAGACUUAAAAUCUCCUGCUCCUUGGGGCGUGCCGGUUCGAGUCCGGCCACGGGCACCA
rnacentral:tRNA from 1 species